CGAGUGCUUCUCAGGUGGGCGCCCUCGUUCUCCGGCAACCUCUACUCCUUGCAAGGCAGCCUGUCGCUUGAGGUACUGGAAUAUCGGCAGCUCAUCCAAGGGAAUCAGUUUCCAGCCGCGGCCAUAACACCGCAGU
rnacentral:lncRNA from 1 species